GUGGGGAAUAUUGGACAAUGGGCGAAAGCCUGAUCCAGCCAUGCCGCGUGUGUGAAGAAGGUCUUCGGAUUGUAAAGCACUUUAAGUUGGGAGGAAGGGCAGUAAGUUAAUACCUUGCUGUUUUGACGUUACCGACAGAAUAAGCACCGGCUAACUUCGUGCCAGCAGCCGCGGUAAUACGAAGGGUGCAAGCGUUAAUCGGAAUUACUGGGCGUAAAGCGCGCGUAGGUGGUUUUGUAAGUUGGAGGUGAAAUCCCCGGAGUCAAACUGGGAACUGCCUCCAAAACUGCAUGACUAGAGUACGGUAGAGGGUAGUGGAAUUUCCUGUGUAGCGGUGAAAUGCGUAGAUAUAGGAAGGAACACCAGUGGCGAAGGCGACUACCUGGACUGAUACUGACACUGAGGUGCGAAAGCGUGGGGAGCAAACAGGAUUAGAUACCCCAGUAGUCC
rnacentral:rRNA from 1 species